UGCUCCGUCUUCCACCUGUUGUGGGCACCGCAGAGGUUUGGCCACAGUGGGGGCAGGGACACCGGCAUCCUCUGGGGCUGGCGCCAUGCCCAGCAGCUGUGGCCACCUAAGCGAUAUUUUCAUGUGGCUCACAGACCUGGGGAGUUUCAUCUGGCAAGGGAUGUCAAGGAGAACAAGAAGGGCUUCUUUAAAUACAUCGGUAACAAAAGGAAAAGUAGGGGGAAAGGUGGGCCUGCUGCUGAAUGGGGAAGGGGCCUUCAGGACAGAGAAUACAGAAAAGGCCGAGGUACUGAAUGCCUUCCUUGCUUCAGUCUUUAACAUUAUGCACAGGCCAAGAAACCAAAACAACAAAGCUGUGCAAUGCAGACCUACACAGAAACAGUGUACAGGGACACCGGGGAAAAAGACAUGACCCCUGAUGUGAUCAUGCAGCCCUUGGCCUCAUGCUAGUGCAGAGCUGACCCCACAACACAGCGCUACUGCUCUGUUAAGGCACUACUGACAUGCCCCAGAUGAGCACAGUGUCCCUGUGGAGAUGGUGACCCCCACACUGUCCCUUCAGAGGCAUCCCCUCAUGACCCUUUAGGACUCACAGCUGGAAACAGAGAUGAGAUGAUCCUGGCCUCUGCUCCUCCUGGCAUCUCUCCUGCCCCACAGCCUCACUCUUCAGUGCCGUCCGUAGCUCUAGCAGCAGUGUUUCUUCCAAACGCUCCCCUCUGGCCCCAGUCUCACCCAGGCCCUUUCUGCAGUUUCUCUCUUCCUCCCAUCGCUAACUCCUCCCUCCAUCCCUCUCUCUCUACACCUCUUUUUGCUGAAAUCCCACAGAAAAUUAAUGGGGAUGGGGGAGGGGGGGAUGACUAGGACAGGAGAUAGCACACACUCUCACCGCCCUCAGCUCUCCCUAUGCCUCCUGAGGGAAAAGUUGACCAGGAAAACCUCAGGCAGAGAAGGCCCUGAGGGCCUCUGCCCUUUCCGUGGGGUUCAGUAUACUGAAUUAUUAACAGAUUUUGCCUUUCCAUUUUUCAUUUCUCUGCAGCAAAAAAUAGUGCACUCAGCUUUACACACUGCAUUUAUGAGGCAUCAUCUCCUCUCUGAAGUCUGGUUUCAAAGCUAGAAGUUGUGAAUGAAUACCUUCCUUUUGGAAAAGCUCUGAAGCAGGGAGUGUUUGAGGUAGAUUAAUGCAUGGGAGAGGAAGAGCUGCAAGUCACUGAACACUCUCAGGGUGGGAGAAAUCUUCACAGCCCUUGACACGUCUCUCAAGUCCAGAGGAAGCAAAUGUCCAACAGCAGCUCCUUCAAUGAGUUCCUCCUCCUGGCCUUCGCGGACAUGCGGGAGCUGCAGCUCUUGCACUUCUCACUCUUCCCGGGCAUCUACCUGGCUGCCCUCCUGGGAAAUGGACUCAUCAUCACAGUCGUAGCCUGAGACCACCGCCUCCACUCCCUAUGUACUUCUUCCUCCUCAAUCUAUCCCUCCUUGAUCUUGGCUCCAUCUCUACUACUGUCAGUGGGGAUGUAUGGAGCGCUGCCUGAGGAGAGGUGAGGGCUUAGCUGAGAGCAGGAUUAGUGGACAGACCAGCAGGGGUGACAUUGUAGUGGGUGUCUGCUGUUGACCACCUGGUCAGGAAGAAGAAGUAGCCGAGGCCUUCUUCAGAGAAUUGGAAGAAGCUUCCUGUUUGCAAGCCCCGGUCCUCAUGGGGACUUCAAGCCCCCUGAUAUAUGCUGGAGACACCCCACAGCAGGGCACAAGCAAUCCAGGAGGUUUCUGGAGUGCACUGAUGACAACUUCCUAACACAGGUGAUGGAGGAGCCAGUGAGGAGAGGUGCUCUGUUGGACCUCAUACUUACAACAAAGGAAGAGCCGAUUGGAGAUGUGAAAUUCAGGGGCAGUCUUGGCUGCAGCACCCAUGAGAUGGUGGAGUUCAGGGUCCUGUGAGGAGGAAGCAGGGCAAAAAGCAGGAUCACCACCCUGGACUUCAGGAGAGCAGACUUCAGCCUGUUCAGGGAGCUGCUUUGGAGAAUCUCUGGGAAUACAGGAGGGAGGAGGGGUCCAAGAGCAUCUACCGAUAUUCAAGGAUCACCUCCUCCAGGCUCAAGCAUGGUCUAGCCCAACAAGCAGGAAAUCUAGCAAAGGCUUGAUCGAGAAAGUACUUGAAAAGAACGGCUUAGAGCUGAACAGAAGAUCGAACUCUUCUCCAUGGCAAUAUUGAUAAUUUUUAUAUAUGUAGAGUUACUGAAACAGUUUGUUUAAAGAGUAAGCUUCUCUUUUGUUACCUUUUCUUCACAUGCUAAUGGUCGCCUAAAACUGUCAGUGUUUACAUGGCUCAAGAUUACCAGUGAACCUUUUUAUCUUGUGCUAAAAUGGGAAAGUAAGAUUUAUUUAAAGUGACUUUGGCCUGGAACAUUUAUGAUGAAGCCUGUACCUCAUGCUACCCUGAUUAUUCUAUUGAAAUUUGUUAUGAGGGCAUCAAUGAGUCAGUGAGUCAUCAAGCUCUAAUGCCUUCCUCAGUGAACAAAGAAACUGUGUCUGGCAGAAGACAGGGCUGUGACUGAGGACAUGAUGGAAAGAGGAAGUUUUGCAUUAGUUUUGUCACUUUGGUGUGUCUCCCUUGGGACACUAUUGUCCUUUACCCGUGUACCUAGUUCAUCAGAUUUUAAGAUGAAACAAUUCUGCCAAAUGGAGUUGUCUCUUUGUGCUAGCACAGAUGUCUGCUCUGGAGCUUUCUUCUAGGCUCUAAGGAGACAAGAGAUGUGCUAGGGACAUGCAGCGUUAUAGGGAACACAUUCUCAUGAUUCAUUUAUUUUACCUUCAUGUGAGCCAUAGUUUCUGGUACUGGGAAUCAUGCCAGGGCUGCUAGGGAAGACACCAAUCCUAGACAAAGGUGCAAAGGCCUGAAGAGGUUGCUUUUUAGGGAUUUAAUCUCUUUGGAGGCUUACAUGCUCACAUUUCUAUUCAUUCCUGGUUCUGAAACAACUUUUCAAAUGAGCUUAAUGGUCAGAUGAUAAAGUAUUUGAAUAGUU